rnacentral:rRNA from 1 species
ACGUAGGGUGCAGGCGUUAAUCGGAAUUACUGGGCGUAAAGCGUGCGCAGGCGGCUACUCAAGUCAGAUGUGAAAUCCCCGGGCUUAACCUGGGAACUGCGUUUGAAACUGGGUGGCUAGAGUGCGGCAGAGGGGGGUGGAAUUCCACGUGUAGCAGUGAAAUGCGUAGAGAUGUGGAGGAACACCAAUGGCGAAGGCAGCCUUCUGGGCCAACACUGACGCUCAUGCACGAAAGCGUGGGGAGCAAACAGGA